GCCGGGGUGGCGGAAUUGGUAGACGCGGUGGACUUAAAAUCCACUGUCCGCUUAGGACAUGCCGGUUCGAGUCCGGCCCUCGGCACCA
rnacentral:tRNA from 1 species